GGUGAAUACAGUCGGUCAGAAAGCAAACACAGCAACAUGACUCUGAAACAUACCAGACGGGUGGAGUAAGGAUGGUAAGCUUGUAUUUUAUUACAAAACAGAGCAGGUGAAUACAGUCGGUCAGUAAACAAACACAGCAACAUGACUCUGAAACAUACCAGACGGGUGGAGUAAGGAUGGUCAGCUUGUAUUUUAUUACAAAACAGAGCAGGUGAAUACAGUCGGUCAGUAAACAAACACAGCAACAUGACUCUGAAACAUACCAGACGGGUGGAGUAAGGAUGGUCAGCUUGUAUUUUAUUACAAAACAGAGCAGUUAUUUGGGAGAGUAAGGAGAGCGUGUAAACAUACAUUAUUCAUACAAAGACAAAGAAUAGCAAGAGAUAAUAUACAGCUUCAACACAAAUAUAGGAAACGUGGGUAAUUGAUAUAUAGGAAUAUACGUAGGAAAUAGCAACAGAAUCCUCCAUGUUGCUUUCAUUGCAGCCUCAUGGUUUUAAAUGUGGGUAAUUGAUAUAUAGGAAUAUACGUAGGAAAUAACAGAAUCCUCCAUGUUGCUUUCAUUGCAGCCUCAUGGUUUUAAACGUGGGUAAUUGUGAAUACUUGACUGUUAGUGCUAAAGGAGAGAGAACUGUGAAUAUAGUCUCGUCAACCAGGCUACUAUGACUAUACUGUAACAAAUAAAUUCUGUUAGCAUUUUCUUUUCUAGGAGAUAAAAUGUUGAAACAAUUACACUAUUUAUGGCUCGACUGAAAUCAGAGAGAGAGCCUUUAAUAACAGAUAGAAAAAGUACAAUGAUUCAAAUCAACAAAGAAGCAGAGCCAGAAUAUUUGACCUUUACCUGGAUAUCUACAUUGAUUAACCAAUCAAGGAGGAAGGACCAGAAGUCUGGCAGGCUCUCAUAACUCUGAGCUCCAUAACCAAAGUUAUUUGUGAUUACAUUACUUGAUGCUCAUUGGUCAGUCUUAGGAUUCAUCCAAAAUGGCACCCUAUUCCCUUUACAGUACUUCUGGUCCCUAGUGCACUAUAUAGGGAAUAGGGUGCCAUUUGGGAUGAAUGGACCCGGGUUAUUCCCUAUGGAUUAUGGUAAAAAGUAGGUCACUAUAUAGGGAAUAGGGUGCCAUUUGGGAUGAAUGGACCCGGGUUAUUCCCUAUGGAUUAUGGUAAAAAAGUAGGUCACUGUAUAGGAAAUAUGUUGCGAUUUGGGACGUAGACUGAGUUAUGACUGAGAAUUAAUAUAGGCGUCACUAUUAAGAUACCUGGAAUAAGGUCUGUUCACUGGCAUAUUCACUCACUGUUGCCCACACUAGAAAAAUGACCAAUCUCACACAGGGUAAAAAAGGAACAGUCAGCCACCUUAAUGCAUCCCUGUACAGAUAAGAUACCUGUGAAGAAGUCGUCUUCUUCAAUAAUGCUUUUCUUUCUGAAGCCAAACACACAUAUUUAUACACAGGGGCGAAUCUUUGGUUUUAGAAGUUGGGGAGGAAAUAUCAAAAACAAAAUGUAUCCAGUCAGAUAAACACUCCAAACAGCCUACCCAACCUCAGAGGCAUCCGCAUGGUCCUAAAGCACACCGUUGCCUCGUUUAGUAUCACGUUCCAAUGAUAAAACUGGGGGGCGGACGACAAAAAUACAAUUUCCGAAUGUGGGGGGGGGACAUGUCCCCCCUGUUCCCAGUGAAAGUUGCAAUCCCGUUUAUACACAUCUUUCAUUAACACUUUGUGUAUUUAAAUAGUCAUUUUAACAGAUAUUCUCUGUCUGUAUGUCCAGACACAAAGCAUCAUCAACAUGUUACAGACCACAACACAGUUAGCGUCUGGUUUAACACAGCAGAACUGAUGCGUCGGUGUGGUUCAACAACAACAAAUUAAAAUGGAGAGAUUCUACCUGAACGUCUCCAAUAACAACACAAAGGUUAAUUUUCUAUUGCAAAACAUUUUGCUACGGUGUGCCCUAAUGAACACUAAAACGGUCCAGUUCAAUAGUGAGACAGCUGGACUGUCCUAGUGAGGGCCCUAGAGGUGAGUGAGAACCGCAUCCCAAAUGGCACCCUAUCUUGGACCCGGGCCUACAGGGCCCAAUGUAGGGAACAGGGUGCCAUUUGGAAUGCAACGGACAUGUUGAUGCAGUCAGGCCAGGUGCACUCGACUACUGGUGCACUCGACUACUGGUGCACUCGACUACUGGUGCACUCGACUACUGGUGCACUCGACUACUGCAGCUAUGAACAGUUUCUACCUCUCUUUUUAAGUGGGGAAGGAAGGAAGUGGUUAGCUGUUAUUAUCAGACACUCUGUAGCCUGUUAGCUCUGACAUGAUUGCAGUACCUGACUGACACACACUUGCAGAAGGAUUUUCAUUGCAGAGAAAUAUGGACAAAUCAUAGGCAAAUAGAAGCAGAGAAUUUGCAUCCGAAUUUCACAAAACUGAUCUAACCUGAUCUGCAGGUGGAGAAAGAGGAACACACACACACACCUCUCCAGUUUGGUGUACACACACACACACACACACACACACACACACACACACACACACACACACACCUCUCCAGUUUGGUGUACACACACUUCUCUCUGCUCUAAACGUCCUGCUGUAACCAGUGUUUGAUAACCGCCACACGGUCCUAUGCUUCCAUCUGUCUGCUUUACGACCCUCCUAACGCUAGUUAACCAACAGCAUCAGGCUGGGAGAGUUAAGGCUAAACUCUCAACGCUAGUUAACCAACAGCAUCGGGCUGGGAGAGUUAAGGCUAAACUCUCAACGCUAGGGAAACAGAGGAAAAUCUCCUCCCGCCCACAGUCCACUUUAUUACAGGAAAUGACAAGGGGUUGAGGCAACACCAACAGACAAAUAGGUUACUUUGUCACAGUAAUGAACGUGUGUACCAUGUCACAGUAAUGAAUGUGUGUACCAAGACACUGAUAAUGUGAGGAAAAUGUCAGUUAGAAUGUGAAACAGAACUGGUGUUGAUGUAACAAUGAACUAACUAGAUGAUUUAUCAUUCUGACAGGUAGCAGGCUCUAGUCAAGAUGCUAUAGCUAGCAGGCUCUAGUCAAGAUGCUAUAGCUAGCAGGCUCUAGUCACAAUGUUGUUAUAGGUAGCAGGCUCUAGUCACGAUGCUAUAGCUAGCAGGCUCUAGUCACGAUGCUACAGGCAGCAGGCUCCAGUCACGAUGUUAUAGGGAGCAGGCUCUAGUCAAGAUGCUAUACACUACUGUUCAAAAGUUUAAUGGAAUAUCUACAUAGGCGUACAGAGCCCCAUUAUCAGCAACUAUCAUGCCUGUGUUCCAAUGGCACGUUUUGUUAACUAAUUCAGGUUUAAAAUUUUAAAAAGUCUAAUUGAUCAUUAGCCUUUUGCAAUUAUGUUAGCACAGCUGAAAACUGUUGUCCUGAUUAAAGAAGCAUCUGCACUUGUGGGUUCGAUUACAGGCUCAAAAUGGCCAGAAACAAAGGACUUUCUUCUGAAACUCGUCAGUCUAUUCUUGUUCUGAGAAAUGAAGCAAUGGCUCUUCAUGAAGGCCAUGCGAGAAAUUGCCAAGAAACUGAAGCUCUCGUACAACGCUGUUUACUACUCCCUUCACAGAACAGUGCAAACUGGCGCUUACCAGAAUAGGAGUGGGAGGCCCCGGUGCACAAGUGAGCAAGGGGACAAGUACAUUAGAGUGUCUAGUUUGAGAAACAGAUGCCGCACACGUCCUCAACUGGCAGCUUCAUUAAAUAGUACCCUCAAAACACCAGUCUCAACAUCAACAGUGAAGAGGCGACUCCAGGAUGCUGGCCUUCUAGGCAGAGUUACAAAGAAAAAGCCAUCUCUCAAACUGGCCAAUAAAAAGAAAAGAUUAAGAUUGGGAAAAUAACAGACACUGGACAGAGGAAGAUUUGAAAAAAGUGUUAUGGACAGACUAAUCUAAGUUUGAGGUGUUCGGAUCACAAAGAACAUUCAUGAAACGCAGAAAAAAUGAAAAGACGCUGGAGGAGUGAUGACGCCAUCUGUCAAGCAUGGUGGAGGCAAUGUGAUGUUCGGUGGUGUUUUGGUGGUGGUAAAGUGGGAGAUUUGUACAGGGUAAAAGGGAUCUUGAAGAAGGAAGGCUAUCAUUCCAUUUUGCAUUUUGUAUGUCAUACCCCGUGGACAGCACUUAAUUGGAGCCAAUUUCCUCCUACAACAGGACAAUGACCCAAAGCACAGCUCCAAACUAUGCAAGAACUAUUUAGGGAAGAAGCAGACAGCUGGUAUUCUUUCUAUAAUGGUAUGGCCAGCACAGUCACCAGAUCUCAACCCUAUUGAGCUGUUGUGGGAGCAGCUUGACCGUAUGGUACGUAAGAAGUGCCCAUCAAGCCAAUCCAAUUUGUGGGAGGUGCUUCAGGAAGCAUGGGGUGAAAUCUCUUCAGAUUACCUCAACAAAUUGAUAACUACAUUGACAAAGGUCUGCAAGGCUGUAAUUGCUGCAAAUGGAGGAUUCUUUGACAAAAGCAAAAGGACACUAUUUUUUCAAUUAAAAUAAUUAUUAAUUUGGCAACUAAUUUCAGUUAAGUUUUCAUGGAAAACAAGGCCAUUUCUAAGUGACCACAAACUUUUGAACAGUAGUGUAGCUAGCAGGCUCUAGUCACAAUGUUGUAGCUAGCAGGCUCUAGUCACAAUGUUGUAGCUAGCAGGCUCUAGUCACAAUGUUGUAGCUAGCAGGCUCUAGUCACAAUAUUGUAGCUAGCAGGCUCUAGUCACAAUGCUAUAGCUAGCAGGCUCUAGGCACAAUUUUAUAGGUAGCAGGCUCUAGUAAAGAUUCUCUACCAGGCUCUAGCAUGGAACAAGCCUCAUCUCAGCUGGUGGAGUGAUACACACAACACAAGCCUUUUAUUGUGACAGACAGGCAGCCAGGUCCCCAGCACCGCGGUAACAGUAGAUCUCUGUUCCGGCCAGACUACUUGAUUACACCAACACAGUUCCACUUAACAGGCAGAGAGGAGCACAGAACAAGAGAGGAGCUACAUCAUAUGAAAUGGCACAGAUUAUCAAGGAAGAAAAGCCCUUAUUAUUAUUAUGAUGACACAAGUAAAGGGAAUGAAUAGCACUGGACAGAGGCUUAAUAAAGUCAUGUUUAUCAACAUGUUGAUAAGUGUCUCUCCUAAAUUCACUUGUUCACACACUUGGACUGCUCUUCCAUGCGGGUUCUCUCAGUGUACAGACAGACAGUAGCUGUAAUGUGGUGUGUGUGUGUGUGAGGGAGAAGUUAGCAAGCUGUUCUGUAUGUAACAGAUGGAGUUUCUAUUCAUCCAGAAGGAGCCAGUGUCCUACAGACCGUCUUCCCCUUUCUCCCUGAAGCAGGAUCCCAGUCCACAGAUCCCAGUUCACAGAUCCCAGUCUACAGAUCCCAGUCCACAGAUCCCAGUCCACAGAUCCCAGUUCACAG
ensembl:lncRNA